rnacentral:rRNA from 1 species
CCUACGGGGGGCAGCAGUGGGGAAUAUUGGACAAUGGGGGAAACCCUGAUCCAGCGACGCCGCGUGAGUGAAGAAGUAUUUCGGUACGUAAAGCUCUAUCAGCAGGAAAGAAAAUGACGGUACCUGACUAAGAAGCCCCGGCUAACUCCGUGCCAGCAGCCGCGGUAAUACGGAGGAUGCGAGCGUUAUCCGGAUUUAUUGGGUUUAAAGGGUGCGCAGGCGGAGGUGCAAGUCAGCGGUCAAAUUGCGGGGCUCAACCCCGUACUGCCGUUGAAACUGCAUCCCUUGAGUGCGCGAGAAGUAUGCGGAAUGCGUGGUGUAGCGGUGAAAUGCAUAGAUAUCACGCAGAACUCCGAUUGCGAAGGCAGCAUACCGGCGCGCAACUGACGCUCAUGCACGAAAGCGUGGGUAUCGAACAGGAUUAGAUACCCGAGUAGUC